UACGUAGGGCGCAAGCGUUAUCCGGAAUUAUUGGGCGUAAAGAGCUCGUAGGCGGUUUGUCGCGUCUGCCGUGAAAGUCCGGGGCUCAACUCCGGAUCUGCGGUGGGUACGGGCAGACUAGAGUGAUGUAGGGGGAGACUGGAAUUCCUGGUGUAGCGGUGAAAUGCGCAGAUAUCAGGAGGAACACCGAUGGCGAAGGCAGGUCUCUGGGCAUUAACUGACGCUGAGGAGCGAAAAGCGUGGGGGAGCGAACAGG
rnacentral:rRNA from 1 species